UCCCUCAUAGCUCAGUUGGUAAAGAAUCUGCCUGCAAUGCAGGAGACCCGGGUUUGAUUCCUGGGUCGGGAA
rnacentral:tRNA from 1 species